UGAGGGUAGCGGAGAAAUUCCAAUCGAACCUGGAGAUAGCUGGUUCUCUCCGAAAUAGCUUUAGGGCUAGCCUCAAGUGAUGAUUAUUGGAGGUAGAGCACUGUUUGGACGAGGGGCCCCUCUCGGGUUACCGAAUUCAGACAAACUCCGAAUGCCAAUUAAUUUAACUUGGGAGUCAGAACAUGGGUGAUAAGGUCCGUGUUCGAAAGGGAAACAGCCCAGACCACCAGCUAAGGUCCCAAAAUAUAUGUUAAGUGGAAAAGGAUGUGGCGUUGCCCAGACAACUAGGAUGUUGGCUUAGAAGCAGCCAUCAUUUAAAGAGUGCGUAAUAGCUCACUAGUCGAGUGACACUGCGCCGAAAAUGUACCGGGGCUAAACAUAUUACCGAAGCUGUGGAUUGUCCUUUGGACAAUGGUAGGAGAGCGUUCUAAGGGCGUUGAAGCAUGAUCGUAAGGACAUGUGGAGCGCUUAGAAGUGAGAAUGCCGGUGUGAGUAGCGAAAGACGGGUGAGAAUCCCGUCCACCGAUUGACUAAGGUUUCCAGAGGAAGGCUCGUCCGCUCUGGGUUAGUCGGGUCCUAAGCUGAGGCCGACAGGCGUAGGCGAUGGAUAACAGGUUGAUAUUCCUGUACCACCUAUAAUCGUUUUAAUCGAUGGGGGGACGCAGUAGGAUAGGCGAAGCGUGCGAUUGGAUUGCACGUCUAAGCAGUAAGGCUGAGUAUUAGGCAAAUCCGGUACUCGUUAAGGCUGAGCUGUGAUGGGGAGAAGACAUUGUGUCUUCGAGUCGUUGAUUUCACACUGCCGAGAAAAGCCUCUAGAUAGAAAAUAGGUGCCCGUACCGCAAACCGACACAGGUAGUCAAGAUGAGAAUUCUAAGGUGAGCGAGCGAACUCUCGUUAAGGAACUCGGCAAAAUGACCCCGUAACUUCGGGAGAAGGGGUGCUCUUUAGGGUUAACGCCCAGAAGAGCCGCAGUGAAUAGGCCCAAGCGACUGUUUAUCAAAAACACAGGUCUCUGCUAAACCGUAAGGUGAUGUAUAGGGGCUGACGCCUGCCCGGUGCUGGAAGGUUAAGAGGAGUGGUUAGCUUCUGCGAAGCUACGAAUCGAAGCCCCAGUAAACGGCGGCCGUAACUAUAACGGUCCUAAGGUAGCGAAAUUCCUUGUCGGGUAAGUUCCGACCCGCACGAAAGGCGUAACGAUUUGGGCACUGUCUCAACGAGAGACUCGGUGAAAUCAUAGUACCUGUGAAGAUGCAGGUUACCCGCGACAGGACGGAAAGACCCCGUGGAGCUUUACUGUAGCCUGAUAUUGAAAUUCGGCACAGCUUGUACAGGAUAGGUAGGAGCCUUUGAAACGUGAGCGCUAGCUUACGUGGAGGCGCUGGUGGGAUACUACCCUAGCUGUGUUGGCUUUCUAACCCGCACCACUUAUCGUGGUGGGAGACAGUGUCAGGCGGGCAGUUUGACUGGGGCGGUCGCCUCCUAAAAGGUAACGGAGGCGCUCAAAGGUUCCCUCAGAAUGGUUGGAAAUCAUUCAUAGAGUGUAAAGGCAUAAGGGAGCUUGACUGCGAGACCUACAAGUCGAGCAGGGUCGAAAGACGGACUUAGUGAUCCGGUGGUUCCGCAUGGAAGGGCCAUCGCUCAACGGAUAAAAGCUACCCCGGGGAUAACAGGCUUAUCUCCCCCAAGAGUUCACAUCGACGGGGAGGUUUGGCACCUCGAUGUCGGCUCAUCGCAUCCUGGGGCUGUAGUCGGUCCCAAGGGUUGGGCUGUUCGCCCAUUAAAGCGGUACGCGAGCUGGGUUCAGAACGUCGUGAGACAGUUCGGUCCCUAUCCGUCGUGGGCGUAGGAAAUUUGAGAGGAGCUGUCCUUAGUACGAGAGGACCGGGAUGGACAUACCUCUGGUGUACCAGUUGUCGUGCCAACGGCAUAGCUGGGUAGCUAUGUGUGGACGGGAUAAGUGCUGAAAGCAUCUAAGCAUGAAGCCCCCCUCAAGAUGAGAUUUCCCAACUUCGGUUAUAAGAUCCCUCAAAGAUGAUGAGGUUAAUAGGUUCGAGGUGGAAGCAUGGUGACAUGUGGAGCUGACGAAUACUAAUCGAUCGAAGACUUAAUCAA
rnacentral:rRNA from 1 species